rnacentral:rRNA from 1 species
UACGUAGGGGGCAAGCGUUGUCCGGAUUUAUUGGGCGUAAAGAGCGUGUAGGCGGCCAGGUAGGUCCGUUGUGAAAACUCGAGGCUCAACCUCGAGACGUCGAUGGAAACCAUCUGGCUAGAGUCCGGAAGAGGAGAGUGGAAUUCCGAGUGUAGAGGUGAAAUUCGUAGAUAUUCGGAGGAACACCAGUGGCGAAGGCGGCUCACUGGUCCGGUACUGACGCUGAGGUGCGAAAGCGUGGGGAUCAAACAGG